AUUGAACGCUGGCGGCAGGCCUAACACAUGCAAGUCGAGCGAACCUAGCUUGCUAGGUGAGCGGCGAACGGGUGAGUAACGCGUAGGAAUCUGCCCGAUAGUGGGGGACAACGUCUCGAACGGGACGCUAAUACCGCAUACGCCCUACGGGGGAAAGCAGGGGAUCUUCGGACCUUGCGCUAUCGGAUGAGCCUGGGUCGGAUUAGCUAGUUGGCGGGGUAAAGGCCCACCAAGGCGACGAUCCGUAGCUGGUCUGAGAGGAUGAUCAGCCACACCGGAACUGAGACACGGUCCGGACUCCUACGGGAGGAAGCAGUGGGGAAUAUUGGACAAUGGGGGCAACCCUGAUCCAGCCAUGCCGCGUGUGUGAAGAAGGCCUUCGGGUUGUAAAGCACUUUAAGGGGGGAGGAAGGUUCGUUGGCUAAUAUCCAACGGAAUUGACGCUACCCCAGAAUAAGCACCGGCUAACUCCGUGCCAGCCGCCGCUGUAA
rnacentral:rRNA from 1 species